AUGUCGUGAUGAAGACACUUUCUAAACAGUUUCUUGAACCUCUCCCAAGAGUCAUAUAAGGAUUCUUCGCCAUUCUGAAGGAAAUUGUUUAUCUCACCCCUUAAUAU